ensembl:lncRNA
GGACCAGCUGGGCGCCCAGGGCUGAGGGCGAGGGCAGCGCGGACAGUUUUGCCUCUCUUCAGAAGGAAAACGACAGCAAGACUCGCAGGCUGGGGGCACGCGGGGAGCGGGGUUGGCACCGUGUCGGACGGACAGCGCGCGGCGCGUUAGCCCGAGGCCUGAGGCCUGAGCUUGGCGGCGGCCUGCAGCCAGAGGACGCGGGAAAGGGAGCGGGCACCGGGAGCGCCGCUUCUGCGUCUGCCCGCGAAACCUUAGGGGGACCGAGGCCUCCCUGGCGCCCAGCACAGCCCAUCCAGGCCCGGGCGGCUCCUGGCGGGGCGCGGCCAGCAGGGGGCGCGCCGCACCCGGGAACGUGCGUGGCGGGCGCCCGGCAGGGGCCGCCCAGGAGGAGGCCGACUGCGGAUGCUGCCGCGCGUGGCUAGGGCCCCUGGAUCUGCAGCUCCGAAACACGCUUGCAGGUGUCAGCUGUUUGGUCCCAGCACUGGACAGGUGACAAAUAUAAUGGUAUCAUGUAAUGUCGGGACUGGCUAGAAAAGUCUGAGAUCGCCCAAGACAACCGGGGAGCCCAGAGUGUCUCUUCAACACCAAGGAAGAGCCAAGAGGCACUGUCUUGUUGGAGACAACAGCUAAAAGCCUGCAGAGCAAGGAUCCGGGGGCAGGGGCAGGGAGCAGCUGCGGCAGUUCCAGCGCAGAGUCCUGUGACCCGCUGUGCAGUGCUGGACCUGACCGAUCGCUCACAGCCCUCCUUCCUUCGGGCACGCCUUUGCACCGAGCUGCCUUCCCAGCCCACCCCUGUCAGCUGCGUAUUCUGAGACGUUGUCUCCCUAAGUCACUGAGUUGCCCAGGCUGGGCGCAAACUUAUGAUCCUCCUGCCUCAGCCUCCCAGAGCACGGUGAAAAUAGGCCUGGCUGGAAAGUAUCCUCUACAUGCAUCAUCUUCACUGUCCUCUCAGCAGCCCUAGAUCAGGACUGCUUCGUCAUCUUGUAUUCCAGAUGGGGAGACGAGGCACAGAGAUGAGUUCCCGAGGCAGGGAGCCAGCCGACUCGAGCCCCACACUGGGGUCACAGAGCAUGCUGGUCGGCGCCAAGCUCCUGUCGGGCCGAGGGGCAGUGUGGAGAGCAGCUCUAGGGUCAGCUCCCCUGGCUCACAGGGCCGGGGCGCCCCGGGGGAUCCUGGCUACUCCUCCCCAGAGGAGAAGGCUGGGCAGGGGGCCUCUGCUCUCUACAGCGAGAUCCGGAGGAGUCCGGACAGAGGGGAGCGUUCUCUCAGUCUGGUGUUGGGCCCCAACUUCAAAGCCCAGGGGUCAUGGAAAGCGCAGGGAAGGCCGUGCUGCUGAGAAGGCCCUGCGGGCUCUGGGGUCAGGGAGAAGGCAGCCAGCCCGUCUGCAGCUCCCUUGCUCUCAGGUGUAAAGUGCACGGAACUCCCUGGCUCUGCACUGGUGGGCUGGAGCGCUCACACACGGCAAAUCCUCAGCCCAGUGCCUGGCACACGGCCUGUUCUCAGGCCCCAUGGGAAUCUCGCUUCUAGGGCUCUGCUAAUAUCAGUCUGGGGAUUCUGCCUCUUAGGCCAAAGUCUCCUCUGAAUUCUUUACUCCCUUGUUUCGGAUGACAAGAUCCAGGACUUCUUUUAGUACCUGUGGUUCUCGAAGUCCCAGGGCCCUUUUCCACAUCUCACUUUGGGCUUGGUGCCGUGGCCAACAUGGCCAGGGCUCUGGUGCUCACCUCUUCCUCUCCAGGGCUGCAGAAAUAGGGCCCCUGCGCCCUUUGGCCUGCAGGGCUCCUGGGCCAGGCUGCCCCUGCUAGAGGUCAGGCCCGCUGGCUUCCCUAGGCUCUGCACCGAUCGCCCAAGUCCACUGCCUCUGGCGGGCCUGCCGGGCGCAGCCCCCAGAACCCAGCCCCUGCUGCCUCCCUGAGAAUCCUGCCAGAGCUCUCUACUGCGACACCAGGACCUGAUGACAGCAGCAAGUUGGGUUCCUUUUUGUAGCAAAUGACAAGAGAUCCAGCUGAAACAAACAUAAACCACUCUGUGAUAGAAAAGUCAGGGCGCAGCAGGAUGUGAAAUCGCCAACCAAAUUAUCAAGUCUGUGCCCGUCUUUGCCCUCUGGUGGCUUCAUUUGGCCAGAGCUCCCCAGUCAGGCGGCAGAGGCAGCUCACCUGUGGCUGCCUGCGGUUCCUCUCGGGCAUUGCUCCUCCCACAUGCUUGCCCUUCGAAGCAAGGUGGUGACUUCGAAGAUUUCUCUACCAGUGGUAGAAUACCUCUGCCUUCUCUCUGAGGUUGGGUGUAGCUAGUGAUGCAUUUCAUUGAAGGAACAUGGUUGUGAACCACAGGACAUCAGUUCUGAGCCUUGGUCUUAAGAUCUCCAUUUGCCCUUCUCCACUGCUGGUGGGAAUGCAGACUGGUGCAACCACCGUGGAAAUCAGUAUGGAGAUACCUCAAAGAACUAGGACUGGAGGUCCCGUUUGACCCAGCUACUCCCCUGCUGGGGAUCUUCCCCAAAGAAUUAAAAGAAUCAUACCACAGUGAUAUAUGUGCACCCAUGUUCACAGUGGCACAGUUUGUGAUAGCUAAAGCUUGGAAGCAACCCAAAUGCCCAUCAACUGGAGACUGGAUCAAGAAAAUGUGUUUUUUUUUUAAUAAAAUGGAGUACUACUCAGACAUAAAGAACAAGAAACUAGAGACAUUUAUGGCCAAAUGGAUGCACACUGAGGCCAUACUCUUAAGUGAAAUAAAUAGGACACACAUGUGUAAAUACCAAAUAGUUUCUCUAGUGUGAGAAACUGACAGUGUAAAUAAGGAUUAAAACAUAUAAUAGAUAAUGUGAAAUAGGAAGAAAAGGUCCAAAGGGGUAGGGGUGGUGGGAGGGGAAGGGGAAAGGGAAGAAGGGAAAGGAAAAAUUAUGAGAAAAGAAAAAAAAUGGAAACAAAGUCUAUGUAAAUAGGGAAGGGUGGAGGGGGUGAAGGGCGAACAGGUAAUGGGGAAGAAAUAAGAACCAAGAUACGUCGUGUACAGGUGCAAGCACCCAAUGAGAAAUGUAAAUGAAUUGUAUACCUAAAGUGUACCAAUAAAAGAAUCUAAGAAAACAAAAGAUCUCCAUUUGCUUUUCCCACGCUUCUGGAAUCACCGUGAGCG